CGGAGAUUGCAGGAUUCACUGUGUUCAUUCAGCCUUCACAAGAGUGUGACCGUGGCUUUCACCGUGCGGCAGGACUGUGGACAGCCCACACUGGGCAUGCGUCUUGUGGCAGUAGAUACUCUUCCUGGAUUUCAGGUUCCUUCGUGAUAAACUUCUUUCUCUCUCAGUCCCUGAGUUUAAGUCUGAGGAGCUGAAGGAGCCACUGACCCUUCUUCUGCUUCUACCUCACACUCCUGUGGUUUAUUACACGUGACUGUGAAGGUGCUUCUACAGGAGGUCGCUGUUGCUGCGGACUGAAUAUUGAAAGCACCUUGUAAUGUUGGCGUUCGUGCAGCCAAGCGCUGCUAAACUCGAUAGGCUGUGUGUUUGUGGGAACAGCCAGAACUGAGACGGAACCAAGAAAUCUGUUCCUGGAGAAACCUUUUGAAAACCGACAGAGUUUUAAGUCACUUAAUAAGGUCUGAUAGGUUAAGGAAUAACAUGUUCAGGGUUUUGGGAGAGCAGCUUUUCACCCUUCCUUGCCACUCGGGAAUUAGUUUCAUCCUCACACUGCGGCAAAACUAUCAAGAAAAGGAAUUGAAAUGGGUCUCAGUGAGCUGUGUAGCAUGAACCUGAAGCUUGGGCAACAAGAUUCUCCGGCCGAGGGGGAAGGCGGGGCUGUGUGGCUGGCCUGCUGCUCAGAGAGCGUCCGGCAUCAUUCCCUGUUCUGUUUGUGUAGAGUAGGGAAUGAUCCUUUAGGCUUCUGGGCAGUCUGCUUAAAGAAAAAAGAGGGUUGAGAAAUUUCAACCCUCUACAUUCAAAUGUAGACUCUCUCGAUCAAUGCUGAAUCUUAAUGCAAUAGAAAUGUAAUUAUUUCCUAAAUUCUUCAUGGAGUACUAGUUCUGGGAGAAGGUAGCAGUUAUGGAGAAGAAAAAAAGUUUCAGGAUCAAGUAAGCCUUGUGAACCCUGGAGUAAAAACUAAGUUUUAUAAUUUGUUGUUGUUGUUGUUGUGUUUUUAUUGCCAAGCUCCUGUGAAUUUAAUUGUGAAUUUCCAGGAAGAGAAUAAAGAUGUAAGAUCUGAAA